rnacentral:rRNA from 1 species
UACGGAGGGUGCGAGCGUUGUCCGGAAUCAUUGGGCGUAAAGGGCGCGUAGGUGGCCACUUCAAGCGUGCGGUGAAAGUCGGGGGCUCAACCCCUGAUCGGCCGUGCGAACUGGGGGGCUGGAGCACUGUAGAGGCAGGCGGAAUUCCGGGUGUAGCGGUGGAAUGCGUAGAGAUCCGGAAGAACACCGGUGGCGAAGGCGGCCUGCUGGACAGUUUUGCUGACACUGAGGCGCGACAGCGUGGGGAGCAAACAGG